CCUACGGGUGGCAGCAGUGGGGAAUAUUGCACAAUGGGGGAAACCCUGAUGCAGCGACGCCGCGUGAGUGAAGAAGUAUUUCGGUACGUAAAGCUCUAUCAGCAGGGAAGAAAAUGACGGUACCUGACUAAGAAGCCCCUGCUAACUACGUGCCAGCAGCCGCGGUAAUACGUAGGGGGCAAGCGUUAUCCGGAUUUACUGGGUGUAAAGGGAGCGUAGACGGCCAGACAAGUCAGAAGUGAAAGCCCAGGGCGCAACCCUGGGACUGCUUUUGAAACUGCCGGGCUGGAGUGCAGGAGAGGUAAGCGGAAUUCCUAGUGUAGCGGUGAAAUGCGUAGAUAUUAGGAGGAACACCAGUGGCGAAGGCGGCUUACUGGACUGUAACUGACGUUGAGGCUCGAAAGCGUGGGGAGCAAACAGGAUUAGAUACCCCAGUAGUC
rnacentral:rRNA from 1 species